AUGAACGCUGGCGGCGUGCCUAAUACAUGCAAGUCGAGCGAACAGACGAGGAGCUUGCUCCUCUGACGUUAGCGGCGGACGGGUGAGUAACACGUGGAUAACCUACCUAUAAGACUGGGAUAACUUCGGGAAACCGGAGCUAAUACCGGAUAAUAUAUUGAACCGCAUGGUUCAAUAGUGAAAGACGGUUUUGCUGUCACUUAUAGAUGGAUCCGCGCCGCGUUAGCUAGUUGGUAAGGUAACGGCUUACCAAGGCAACGAUGCGUAGCCGACCUGAGAGGGUGAUCGGCCACACUGGAACUGAGACACGGUCCAGACUCCUACGGGAGGCAGCAGUAGGGAAUCUUCCGCAAUGGGCGAAAGCCUGACGGAGCAACGCCGCGUGAGUGAUGAAGGUCUUCGGAUCGUAAAACUCUGUUAUUAGGGAAGAACAAAUGUGUAAGUAACUAUGCACGUCUUGACGGUACCUAAUCAGAAAGCCACGGCUAACUACGUG
rnacentral:rRNA from 1 species